AAAACUUGGCAGUUUUGAUGAGGGACUUGCUUUAACAUCUGCACCACUAUGCUUCUCCAUCUCUAUGUUAGACUGCAGCACUUCAUUAGAUAGACACAGAGCCUCCAAAUGUGUAUCAUAUGGUGAUACACCUCUGCUUGGACAUUGCAAUUUCCUUCUUUGCCUGUACUUCCUACUUUCAAGCAAUCAAUUCUGUGGUUAGUAUUGGUCCCGCAGAAGCUAAAAUACAAGCACAAAAAAAGGUGUAAGUUCCCAUGAUAGGUGCAGUGAAAUUUCUGGAAAUCUGAUCUUUUCAUACUUAACAGUCAAAUGUUUCCAUGUACAAGCCAUUCUGAAAGAAAGAUUUUGUUGUCUGUUGUUUAUAUAUUAAAUCUAGGGAAAUUGUUUCUUGCAGCAUUGAAGACAUAAGUUAAGAUCACGGAGUGAAUGCAUGAUUAAGCUUUCUUCUCCACCCACUGGUUGAUGUAACAUGUCGCAUUGUUUGGGAUUGUCCAUCUCCAAUUAGUUUUAUCA